ACCAGAGUGGACUUACCGCUGGUGUACCAGUUGUCUCGCCAGAGGCAUCGCUGGGUAGCUAUGUAGGGAAGGGAUAAACGCUGAAAGCAUCUAAGUGUGAAACCCACCUCAAGAUGAGAUUUCCCAUGACUUUAUGUCAGUAAGAGCCCUGAGAGAAGAUCAGGUAGAUAGGUUGGAAGUGGAAGUGUGGCGACACAUGUAGCGGACCAAUACUAAUCGCUCGAGGACUUAUCCUA
rnacentral:rRNA from 1 species